UUUUACAUUUCCAUUUUGUUUCUGUUUUCCAGUCGAUCCGAAACUAGACAGGCCUUUGUUGCUACAUGGAAUGUGCCAUCGGAAGUAUGCUCUCAAAAAUUCAACAUUGAGUUUGAUCUCAAACAAUUCAGGAUAGAUAGUAACAAAAAUACAUCAUUCAUGGGAGAAGAAGUGGUUUUGUUUUAUGAACCACUUCCGGGAUUAUAUCCGAAAUAUCUGUCAAAUGGAUCGGCCCUUAACGGCGGAAUCCCACAAAGAGUUCCAUUCGACCACCACUUCCAGAAAGUGGCAAACGACAUCGAUGUUCUUGUUCCCGCCAAAGACUUUUUGGGGAAAGGGGUUAUUGAUUGGGAAAGCUGGAGGCCAAUAUUUGAAAGAAAUACAUACGAACCAGAUAAACUUAUAUACAUCAACGAGUCAAAGAAACUGGCCAAAUCUUUAUACCCGGCUUGGAACUCUACAAUGAUAGGCAAAAUGGCGGACAUUAUGUUUGAAGAGUCAGCGAGGUACUCUAUCACGAAAAUUAAUGGAAAAGACGUUGAUGAUAGCCCGAGAUUUACGACCACGUGGUUCGUGGGGGUUUUAUGGUUUCCCGAGAUGUUUCAACUACGAAAAAGAUGAAGAUAAAUGCAGCAAGGAGACGAUGAAAUUCAAUGAUCAGUAUGGAUUGUUUACAUAUUUAGAAUUCAACGACUUUUCAUGUAAGAGAGAGAGAGAGAGAGAGAGAGAGAGAGAGAGAGAGAGAGAGAGAGAGAGAGAGAGAGAGAGGAUGUAUCAUACAAUCAUGUAUAAUUACUCUCCAAUAUUUCAGACUAAGUUGGUUGUUCCGAGCCAGUAAGUCGCUGUACCCUUCCAUAUAUCUAUCCUCCAAGUUCCCCUCCCCUUCUAGCCGUCAGAAGCGUGUACAAGGGAUCCUGAACGAAACUCUGAGAGUCCAUUCUCGUUUUUCUACAAGCAAUACGCGAAUGUACGCAUACAGUACUUACAGAUACACGGACAAUGACAUCUUCUAUUCACAGGAGGACCUAAUUAACUCCAUUGGGCAGUCCUUUGACGCUGGGAUGGACGGGGUAAUACUCUGGGAUAGCAGUAAGAACUUCAAAUCUCGGGCGGACUGCCAAAAUGUCAAAGAUUACCUUCAAUUUUCUCUUGGACCUCUCGUAAAAAAAGUCAUCGAUUUUGCCGAGAAAUGCGGUGCGGGUUUGUGCAGUGGACACGGGAAAUGCGUGCGCAAUUCUUGGGUGAAAUCUACCGGACUGCAGUUAUUUCUUGCACAUAGUGUGCAUGUACAUGUAUAUGAUUUUGAAAAUUAUGAAUGUAAAUGUUAUAAAGGAUGGCUUGGUACACAAUGUAACCAACCAAGCUAACAGUUUAGACCAAUAACUUAGCAGCACAUAUACUAGUAUACAUCUAUACGCCAUAUACAUGUAUUUACCCCAUUAUUGCAUUAACAUUCAAGCUUUACCAAAAUUCUUCAGAGGAGAAAAUACUCAUUUUAAAAUUCAGCUAGAUUCUUCAAUUAAAAAACCCCAGAAAAUUCUGCCUGUUUAUUGCAAUGCUUAGCAGUCGACUUUGUAGUUGGUCAGUGCGACUUUUAUAAUGGUGUUCAUGUCGGAAGGUCUGUUGCUGCAGAUGGCGUUACGUUGAGCGUGGGCCGCGGAAGAGCUGCGUACAUACUCUAUAUGGAAGACAGGCUGCAGAGAGAAAGGAGCUGAUAAAUGACUGCAGUGUUUUGGUUCUUUUGUAGUUUUUAAUUUUUUAUAUAUCAAUACAUUCAUUAUAGUGAAUUGAAAGAAAUAUACAUGAAUACAUGUGCCCUUUGCUAAUAUUCAAUCACAAGUUAAAAAUCAUGACAUAAAAAAUUGUCAUAAAUUAUUUGUUAUAAUUUUAAUACACAAUUUAAAAAUUAUUGCUUGAAAAUUUUGCCAUGACUAAUUUUUUUGAUGAUUUAAACUUGAAAUUGAAAAUAAUAUGCAGUUAGUGCACACGCUUUACAUGAUUGUAAAACCUACAUCUUAUACUGUAUUGCCACAACCUGCCAAUCUGAUUUUUUUUUUUAUAGUUUUAUAUUUACAUGUAUCUACCAAGUGUUAUUCCCUAAAUGUCUUACGGAAACUUAUAGUUAAUUCAUAGCUCUAUAGAAACAGCCAGACUGGAAUAAACACGCCCCGUUUAUCGAU
rnacentral:misc_RNA from 1 species